CGACCGGCGCACGGGUGAGUAACGCGUAUGUAAUCUACCUGUAACAGAGGGAUAACCCGGAGAAAUCCGGACUAAUACCUCAUAGCACAUAUUAUUCGCAUGAAUUUUAUGUUAAAGAGACUCGGUUACAGAUGAACAUGCGUUCCAUUAGCUAGUUGGCGGGGGUUACGGCCCACCAAGGCAACGAUGGAUAGGGGUUCCGAGAGGAAGGUCCCCCACACUGGUACUGAGACACGGACCAG
rnacentral:rRNA from 1 species